rnacentral:rRNA from 1 species
AUUGAACGCUGGCGGAAUGCUUUACACAUGCAAGUCGAACGGCAGCACGGACUUCGGUCUGGUGGCGAGUGGCGAACGGGUGAGUAAUGUAUCGGAACGUGCCCAGUCGUGGGGGAUAACGUAGUGAAAAUUACGCUAAUACCGCAUACGAUCUAUGGAUGAAAGCGGGGGAUCGCAAGACCUCGCGCGAUUGGAGCGGCCGAUAUCAGAUUAGGUAGUUGGUGGGGUAAAGGCCCACCAAGCCAACGAUCUGUAGCUGGUCUGAGAGGACGACCGGCAACACUGGAACUGAGACACGGUCCAGACUCCUACGGGAGGCAGCAGUGGGGAAUUUUGGACAAUGGGCGAAAGCCUGAUCCAGCCAUGCCGCGUGCAGGAUGAAGGCCCUCGGGUUGUAAACUGCUUUUGUACAGAACGAAAAGGUUUCUACUAAUACUAGGAGCUCAUGACGGUACUGUAAGAAUAAGCACCGGCUAACUACGUGCCAGCAGCCGCCGUAA